rnacentral:rRNA from 1 species
AUGUGCACAAACGAUGGGCUUUCCAGUUCGGAGAUUGCUAUACGAGAUGCUCUUCACUGGCCAGAUGGCACGAGGAAGUAUUCUUCGAGAUCCAAUCCGGAUGAAGAUCAUAUGGGGCUAUUGGUUCAAGCUUUGUUGGACAAGUACAAUGAGGAGAAUAAUCUUUUGGGGGAUGAUGCAUAUAAUGUUGAAGAUGUCGUGAGCUUCCAAGAAGUUUAUGAGGGCAAAGGUGGCUGGUACUACCGUCUGAAUUGUACUAGAAAGACUAAAGGUGGCGUCGACAAUCUCUUCUUUGCUGAAGUCUUGAGAAUGAAUAGAGGACUACAAUUCAAGCUCACCUGUCUCCAUAUGGUUAAACCUGCUGUUGAUAACGGUACAUGCUAUGGUUGUAAAAAAACCAAUGUUAGUAUGAAGCACCCCAUUGACGCUGGUAAAUACAAAGGUGGCCACGAUCCCUCGUGGCCACCACGGCUUUGCAUGGUUCUUCCACCGGAUUUGCCUGAGGGUUUUGAUGCUAAGAUGAAAGCUAUGGAGGAAAGGAUUAGAUAUCAAUUCCAGGACUCUGAUGUGUUGAUAUCGGAUGCUGGAAGAACUGCUGCUGCUGAUGGUUUGGACAAGAGCCAGCUGGGAAGAAGGGGCUUCCCAGCUGCUGAUGCUAGAAUGAACAAGGAAAGGACUGGAUAUGUAUACGGGGACCGUGAUGUGGCAAAAUCGGAUGCUGGAAGGCCUGCUGCUGGUUUGGAGGGAAAGUGGGGCACGUACGUUAUACCGCCGAUGCGUCUGAAGGUUUGA